rnacentral:snRNA from 1 species
ACACUUACCUGGCAGGGGGACCACAGGUGAGGUUUGUCUACUGCACUCCAGGUGUACUGACCCCCUGCAAUCUCCCAAAUGCAGGAAACUUGACUACAUAAUCUGUGGUAGUGGGGGACUGUGUUUGUGUACCUGCUCCCG